rnacentral:misc_RNA from 1 species
GAUGAAGAACGUAGUGAAAUGCGAUAAUUAAUGUGAAUUGCAGAAUUCAGUGAAUCAUCGAGUCUUUGAACGCACAUUGCGCCCCCUGGUAUUCCGGGGGGCAUGCCUGUCCGAGCGUCAUUGCUACCCUCAAGCACGGCUUGUGUGUUGGGCCUCCGUCCUCCUCCCGGGGGACGGGCCCGAAAGGCAGCGGCGGCACCGCGUCCGGUCCUCGAGCGUAUGGGGCUUCGUCACCCGCUCUUGUAGGCCCGGCCGGCGCUUGCCGACACAUCAAUCUUUUUUCCAGGUUGACCUCGGAUCAGGUAGGGAUACCCGCUGAACUUAAGCAUAUCAAUAAGCGGAGGA